ACUGAGACACGGUCCAAACUCCUACGGGAGGCAGCAGUAGGGAAUCUUCCACAAUGGACGAAAGUCUGAUGGAGCAACGCCGCGUGAGUGAAGAAGGGUUUCGGCUCGUAAAACUCUGUUGUUAAAGAAGAACAUAUCUGAGAGUAACUGUUCAGGUAUUGACGGUAUUUAACCAGAAAGCCACGGCUAACUACGUGCCAGCAGCCGCGGUAAUAC
rnacentral:rRNA from 1 species